UCCUCCAUGAAGAAAAUAUCCACAGCUAUCAAGCUAAGAAAAGACAGAGCUUAGCGAACUAACCGCUAGCUACAACAUAUGAAGUACAGAAAUGUCGUGAUAAAGAAGCCUAAUUUAGUGAGCUAAAUUAUUUGGAAUAUUUGAUAGACAUGGUAUAAACCUUCAAAUGAUAUUUUAACAUUCUGAUAUGUUUGCCUUUACAAUUUGUGAAGAAAAACGUGCAAGAUGUUAGUUAAUACAUCAUAGAUGUUCAAAUUGUGCUUUGCUUCUGCAUGCCUGUAGUAUCAAAUAUGUCUGAACUUAUUUCCUGAUUCACUCUGCAGUUCAUUUUGUUGUAUUAUUAAAUUAAUAACUAUAUAUCAUUAUCAGUGCUCAUUUCUUACUGGUGGUGAGAUAUUGGAAGCAAUAGUUCACACCUCAGGACUGGACACUACAGAUGCAGGGCUGUGUUUACUUCCUGUUGUAGUUUUUAUUAUAAUGAUGUAGAAAAACUUCACUGAAACAUUUUUGUUUAGAGCUGCUUUUAGUCUGUUAAGUUCUUUAGUGAAAACUUUAGUCUGUCGUCUAACCUUUAACCUCUAUCUGCCUUAAAUUACAUUCAUCCAUUGAUUGAUUUUCUUUCUUUUUCUGUUGUGGUUUUCUGUAAGGACAGCCUGGAACUGUCUUGUAUAAAUAUUAUACCUGACAAUGACUGGUGGUUUUUCUUCCUAUCUUAUCCACCUGCCUCCCUUCCUCUUUGUCACUGACUCUUCCUUAUUUUGUUUUGUAAAACAAGAUGUUUUUCAAACAUUACUUCCAACAGCAUCAUCUUUGUUUGUGUUUUCUUAAUAUUACUUUAAUUUGUUGACUGAUCCAACACAAGUUACAACAAGUCUGAGCAAAAUUGCAACUAAAGACCCAGCAACAAUUAAUUUGUCGUUCUCAUUUAGACGUUUAAUACAUUAAGUUCAACUACAGUUCAAGUAGUACAGUUGCUGUUUCUAAACUGCCAUCAAAAUAAAAGACAGUAAUUGUUGGUCCUUCAACUGUAUUAAUUGAACACCGUAUGUUAACAACAAUCAGUAAGAAGGUGACCUCUUCUACAGUUAAUCUGUGAUCAGAAUAAAUGUUCCUCAGUGAAGAAAAUGAGAUUUUCUCAUCUAGCUGUGGAUCCACAGAAGGUCAACUCAUGUUUUAAUGCAGUGCAGACAACAACCAUGGAGUCCAAAACACUGACAUAGGUAGGAAGAAGCUGGUCAACAGUCAGAGCUUCAGCACCCUGGACAGCUCUAUGACUUCAAAAUAACUGAUGAGCAGCUGGAAACUCUGCCUCAUUUAUUGGAGUCUUUGUUAAAUCCAGGAAUGGUUUGACUUUACCUGAGUCCAAGAAGGUCUCACUGUGAGGAUCCAAAGCUCUGAAAGCUUCCAUGUAUUUGUGACUCUCUCUGUUCUCUAACUAACCUGGAUCAUUCUGACGUUUUCCAUUAGAUGCCAAAUAAGGAACCAACUCUUAAAGUAAAUAUAAUGUAUAAUUAGCUGCAUGAACAACUGAUCAGAGUUUUGAUGCCAUCAGGAUCAAUAUUCAUAAAGAGAAAUUAACAUCUCAAACACGAUACGUCACAUAUAGUCAGUCUCCACAUGUCUAUGGAACAUAAAACAUCUCUUAACAUUUGCAUUCAACCAAGCAGCUAAAAAUAAUGAGCAGAAUCAGAGCUGCUGAGCAGCUUUCUGAGAAGGCAAAGAGGAAACAAACAUGGCCGACCACAAACAAGAGCAGCUGAGCGUUUUUACACUAUGAUUUAUUCACGUUUUAUGUCUGACAAUAUUAUUUAACUCACAGUGUUGAACUUGACAGUGUUUUCAUUCAUGUUAUUUAUUUCAUAAGCAGACUGCCACUAAAAAGACAUCCUUUAGUCCCGAUCCAUACAGAGUUGUUCCUUUUUCACAGCUUUUGUUCACUUAUUGUUAAAUUCUGACAUCUGAUCAGAAGAAAUGAGAUUUCUUAUGAAUUGCUGGAAGGUUUAAACCGUGACGACAAGAAAGCCAAAGAUGCAACAGCAGCUACAUUAUGCAAGAUCAGAUGAAGCUGAGCAAAGAAAGUGAAGGUUGUUUUUUAACAUAUAUUAUAUUUACAUAAGUUCUGAAAUAGGUUGUCUCAAUAAAAACUGCUCCUCUUGGUGGAUGUUUCUGCAUUUCUUAGAGACGUUGUCUUUCUUUUAGAGGAUAGAGGACCUGUGGAGGAGGAGGAAAGGAGGAAGAGGAUGCAGGUGGUGGAGAGGUUUCAGACGGCUCCUUCUGAGGAAAUAGCAGCUCUCUGUGGAUCCAGGACCUCAUUGCUUCAGUCCAAACUAGAUCAGGUCUUUGAUCCGAUUGUUCGUCCUCCUCCGUCUCCAUCUGGACAAUCGUCUCGUCGUUGGACGCCGAUCUAUGAGAUGAACUUUCCUGACCUCUGUGUGUAUUAGAGACUCAACAGGAUGACCUGGAUCAUUAUGAAGCAUCUGAUGUUGUGUUCAAGGAACAGAGGACAAAACAACUGAGGACUGGAAACAUGUAGCAUGAGUCAUGUUUUGUGUUCAUAGAAGAAGUUUUUCUCAGUGGCUGUUUUGUUCCUCUGAGAAAGAUUUAGUUUUGUGUUGAUCUCAGUAUUUCCCAGUUUUAUGUUUCAUUUUGUUGUGAUUCUUGAAGUGUGAUUGUCAAAAAGAAAACUUUAUUUUUUAAUCAUGUUGAACUAAUUCAACUUUAACUGUCCUUUUAUUUGGUUUUGUCUCUAAACUUUAAACCAACUCUUUAUUUUCCUCUCCAGGCUGCAGAGUCUGCUGAUAUAAACAUGCAUCAUGCAUUCAUGUUUUUCCUGAUAAACUGUGUAAAAUAAUGUGCACUACAUGUGGCAUCCCUGCUACUUCACACUUUGAGCUUGUUAAAUGUUUGAAGCUAAAUAUUUCUAGGAUAAAAGACAUCAUCUGGCAGAUUAGCUCAGAUUGCUUCAAAACUAUUCCAUGAUGAAGAGCAUUAGUGAAAACGAAGACUGGUCAUAGUUGGAAAGUGUUUUAGCUGUGAUCAAAUAGCUCCGUCUGUUAGAGGAUCUCCUGUAGUCUGUAGGGUCGGUUCUCUGAAGGUUCCUGAGGACCAACAAGCUGACAAGGAAAUGGAUCCAUAAAAAGUUUGAGACACAAGAGUGUCGACCUGUUGGAUGGUCUCUACAACAUGAGACCAGUUUGAAGCUGAAAUGGUUCUGACUGAAGACCCAAAUAGUGUCAGACAUUAAAGACGCAUAAAGGAUUUUUAUUACACUGUAUGAAGGCUGCAGACACCAACAAACAAAAUGUUCUGGACUGAGACAAUUUGACUGCUGGGAAUUUAUCUCACUUGGUGAGCUUGACUUUGAUUCCAAUAACUUUAAACCUGUAACUGUGUCAAACUGACCAGAUGUUCUCAAUCAAAGGUUUUCUCUCUGAAUGGAGAUAAAGAAAUGUUGGCUUUUGUUCUUCAUCUGGUCAUCUGAGAGGAACAUUGCUGAUAAACUGUUGGAGAUGAUGAUCUCAGAGUGGAAAGUUUGAACCAUGUUUCAUGUAUCAUGUGUGACCUGGUAGAUCAAGGUGUUGGUUAGUAUGAACUGCAUGGGCUUCAUCUAAAACCAACUGUGUCAGGGUUUAAACGCAGCAAACUGGAGGAAGGACAGACAGGGUAUGAAACACAGAAAACAUCUGAUUCAUGGAGACACUGAUCAAGAAUGAUCAUAUCUGUGCAGCGUCCCAACUCAGUUACCUUCUGCUACAACUAAUCUGUCCACUAGAGGGAGCACAGAUACUUCCACAGGUUCUGCUUCAAACUUAAAGAUGAAAUAACUGCAUUCAGUGUUAUUUGACUACUUUGUUAAAUCUUUGAAUAAAGAAAUGUCUGUUUUUA